UACGUAGGGUGCGAGCGUUGUCCGGAAUUAUUGGGCGUAAAGAGCUCGUAGGCGGUCUGUCGCGUCGAUCGUGAAAACUUGGGGCUUAACCCUGAGCUUGCGGUCGAUACGGGCAUGACUGGAGUUCGGCAGGGGAGACUGGAAUUCCUGGUGUAGCGGUGAAAUGCGCAGAUAUCAGGAGGAACACCGGUGGCGAAGGCGGGUCUCUGGGCCGGUACUGACGCUGAGACGCGAAAGCGUGGGGAGCGAACGGG
rnacentral:rRNA from 1 species